UGCAUCAGCCGGGAAUUGAACCCGGGCAGCACCCAUGGCAGGCAAGCAUUCUACCACUGAACCACCGAUGC